UCGCCUGCCUGUCCCCAGCCCCUCUCAGCUUGAACUCCUUCCUUCAAGUCUGGGCCCUCGAGGUUUCCAGAGCGGCCUCCAGGGGUGCAGUCUCAGUUCCCCACGCCAGCCGUCUCCGUCCUCCGCCUCCUCCGGGCCUGGCAGGUGGCACUGUCCGGAGGCGGAGCCUUGGGCCAGGGGUGGUUGCGGCGGAGGACUGAAUCGAGCGGGACUGUGGCCUCACCAUGGACCCGGAAUGCGCCCAGCUGCUCCCGGCUCUCUGUGCUGUUCUGGUAGAUCCCAGGCAGCCGGUGGCAGAUGACACCUGUUUGGAGAAGCUACUGGACUGGUUUAAAACGGUCACUGAAGGAGAGUCCAGUCUCGUGCUGCUGCAGGAGCACCCCUGCCUGGUGGAGCUGCUGUCCCAUGUGCUGAAAGUCCAGGACCUGAGUCCCGGGGUCCUCUCCUUCUCACUCCGUCUGGCAGGAACCUUCGCGGCCCAGGAAAACUGCUUCCAGUAUCUUCAGCAGGGGGAGUUGCUACCAGGGCUCUUUGGGGAGGCAGGACCCCUCAGCCGAGCAGCCUGGGCCGUCCCCACCGUGCGCAGCAGCUGGAUCCAGGGCCUGCGCUCCCUGGCACAGCACCCCAGCGCUCUGCGCUUCCUGGCCAACCACGGUGCGGUUGACACCAUCUUCUCCCUGCAGGGAGACUCCAGCCUGUUUGUGGCCUCGGCGGCCAGUCAGCUCCUGGUACACGUCCUGGCUUUGUCCAUGCAAGGUGGAGCCAAGGGGCAGCCCUGCCUGCCGGGGGGUGACUGGCCCGCGUGUGCCCAGAAGAUCAUGGAUCACGUUGAAGAGUCCUUGUGCUUCACGGCCACCCCCAAGGUCACUCAGGCCCUGAACGUCCUGACCACGACCUUCGGGCGCUGCCAGAACCCCUGGACGGAAGCCCUGUGGGUGCGGCUGAGUCCCCGCGUGGCCUGUCUGCUGGAGAGAGACCCCAUCCCCGCCGCACACUCGUUCGUGGACCUGCUUCUCUGUGUGGCUCGGUCAGGGCCCCGGGACGCAGCUGGGGGGCCUGGGUGGGCAAUUGUUUUCCAUCCCUGGGCAAAUGACUCCCAGGGAUGUCCCACUGGCAGCCAGAGACUCUCUGAGGACGUGGCCUGCAGUGAAGUGGCACCGGAGUGACCCUGGAACCCUCAUGGGGAAAGGCCUGUCUUGGGCUGGGCGCCUCCAGCGUGGGGGCCAUGGCAGUCUCAGCCAGGCCUCGGAUGGAGUUUUGCAGGUGGAGGAGUAAUUUUUCUCUCUGGGGUCUCCCUGCAGUUCUCCCGUGUUCAGUUCUUCUGACGGCGGCCUGUGGGAGACGGUGGCGCAGGCUCUGAGCUGCCUGGGCCCCACCCACGUGGGACCCCUGGCUUUGGGGAUCCUGAAGCUCGAGCACUGGUAUGGUCUGGGGUGUGUUUCAUGCUGAGGCGGGUGCUGGGAGCUGGGGCAGGCAGGGAGGUUGAGAGCGGGGCCCUCACGGCAGGAGAGUUCCGGACACCAGGGACAGUCAGACGGCCGUGCGGGGGUGUGACUGGGCCAUGCGUGGGUUGCGCGCGGCAGCCUUGCAGGCUGGCAGCUUCUGCAGGAUCUUUAGCGACAGAAUAAUUGUUUCAGACCAAAGCUCUGCGAGAUCCACAGAGGUGAGAAGGAUGCCGGAGCUGCUCUACUCAGAGCAGGGUGGUCCUGCCCACGCCCUGCGCUCUGCUGCCCUCCCACCUGCCCCUCACCGCAGCUUUGUUUGGGGGUGCUGGAGCUCCCCAGCACACACACCAUGCGGGUGGGGGGCCUGGGGGCGGUGGAACGGCAGAGCCUGGGGUCAGGACAGGUGGGAAGGCCGUGGAUGGCCUGCCAGGGUUCCAGGUGGGCUCCCGUUAGGGGUGGAAGUGACCUCAGGACCUGCUGCCCAAAGGGCCCGGGGUACCAUGAGAGUCCAGCACUGAGCUCCGGGGUCUCCGAAUGUUUAGGAGAGAGUAGACUUGGGGGAGGAUGGAGGAACAGGCCCGGCCCUGCGGAAUGCAGUGUGGGGACACUGCCCCCACCUGGGCCCAGACGUGAGGGCAGGUCCCUCCCACAGAGUGGAUGCUGUGCACACCUGGGGACACCCGGGAGGCUGGGGGCACCCUGUCCCUGACCCCCUGAGCGGGCACUGCCCCUCUGUCUGGGUGCAUGGCCAGGCCCUCCUGGAGGCCCCUCAGUAUCUGUUCCUAAGGACAUCAGGAGUGUCAGGCCCAUCUCCUUGGUCAGGCCUGUCCACCCCGCCACUCUCUGUCCCAUGGCGUCCCCUGGCCAGUGGCCUGCAGAGAAUCUGUUUCUCGGGGGGUGUCCCAACCCCCUGGCUGAUUUGCCCCAGGCUUGCUGGGGACGUUAGGAGCAUAGCCAACUUGUCUCACGGGCAGGGUUGCGGCACUCACCUCGUGUUUGUCUCCAGUCCACAGGCACUGAGGACCCAGGCCUUCCAGGUCCUUCUCCAGCCCCUGGCCUGUGUCCUGAAGGCCACGGUUCAGGCCCCCGGACCCCCAGGCUUGCUGGAUGGGACGGCAGACGAUGCCACGACGGUGGACACGCUCCUGGCCUCCAAGUCGUCCUGCGCGGGCCUCCUGUGCCGCACCCUGGCUCACCUGGAGGAGCUGCAGCCGCUGCCCCAGCGCCCUUCACCGUGGCCCCAGGCGUCCCUACUGGGAGCUACAGUGACUGUCCUGCGGCUCUGCGGCGGCUCAGCUGCCCCCGCCUCCCGUGUGGGGGGCCACCUGUGUGGGACCCUGGCGGGCUGCGUCCGGGUCCAGCGAGCAGCCCUCGACUUCCUGGGGACGCUGUCACAGGGGACAGGCCCCCAGGAGCUGGUGACGCAGGCGCUUGCUGUCCUCCUGGAGUGCCUCGAGAGCCCUGGCUCCAGCCCCACGGUAUGGCGGUGGGGAUAGGGAGCGAGGAGAGGAGGGAGGCAGAGGCAGUGGGACCCACCCCCGACUCCACCCCGGCCCCGUGCAGGCCUCCGCAGAUGGAGCCUUCACACAGGGCCACAGAGUUGCUGCUCAGAGAGCUUCACGAUGCAGGUGGCUGCAUGGGUCAGGCUCAGGGCCUCUUGUUGGUGAAGAUACAUCAGCACGCAGGGGUGUGUGGGGCCGUGGGGAGCAGGGGCACUGGCCAGGCGGCCUGCAGGGAAUUCUGGACAAGGGAAACGAGGUAGCACCAGGACGGCCCUGGGCGUGGGCUCCGGGUUCUUCUAAGCACCAUUUGUGAACGUGCCCACUCCACAGCCCCUCACGGAGCUGGGCCCUGGCAGGUACAGACCUUGCACCACCUGCCGCUGAGCAGACAGCAGACAACUUUGGAGGAAGGGCCCAGGGCUUCUUGGGAUCCUAAGGAAAAGGUGCCCUGCGUAAUUGCUCAUGUUUUGAUGUAGAAAUCCUGUUGCCUGGGUUGUGGGUCUUCUGGUGGGGGCUGCCGCCACCUCCUCCUCCUCACAGUCUGGGAAGCCAGUUCUGCAGCAGAUUCUGCCCUAUUAAAAUCAGCCCAGGAGGGGCGUGGGGCUCACAGCUGUGAUUACUGUGCGUUGGGGGGCCGAGGUGGGGGGAUCAAUGGAGCCCAGGACUUUGAGGCCAGCCUGGGCAACAUAGCAAGAUCCCAUCUCUACAAAAAAAUACAAAAAUUAGCCCCGGAGGUAUAGCUCAGGGGUAGAGCAUUUGACUGCAAAAAUUAGCCGGGCGUGGUGAUGUGUGCCUCUAGCCCCAGCUACUCAUGAGACUGAGGCAGGAGGAUUGUUUGAACCGGGGAGAUGGAGGCUGCAGUGAACUGUGAUUACAGUCCAGCCUGGGUGACACAGUGAGACCCUGUAAAGAAGGAAGCCCAGCGUUCUCUUCUCUCUUCCCUUCCUGUCCCCAUCUGUGUCCUUGGAGUAGGGGCAGCACAGGUGAAGGUGAGGGGGACAGACAGACAGCUUGCCCGUCCCCUCCCAUGGCCCUACAGCCCACCCUGUGUGCUCCAGGUUCUGAAGAAGGCCUUCCAGGCUACGCUCAGGUGGCUGCUGAGCUCACCCAAGACCCCCGGCUGCUCUGAUCUCGGCCCCCUCAUCCCGCAGUUCCUCAGAGAGCUGUUCCCUGUGCUGCAGAAACGCCUGUGCCACCCCUGCUGGGAGGUGAGGGACUCCGCCCUCGAGUUCCUGACCCAGCUGAGCAGGCACUGGGGAGGACAGGUCGGCUUCAGAUGCGCACUCUUGGCUUCAGAGGUGCCUGAGCUGGCCCGGCAGCUCCUCCAGGACCCUGAGAGUUAUGUCCGAGCGAGCGCGGUGACCGCCAUGGGGCAGCUGUCCAGCCAGGGCCUGCACGCCCCCACCAGCCCUGAGCAUGCAGAGGCCCGGCAGGUAGGAAGUGGUGGGUUCCUUGGCUGCCAGCCCCCAUGAGCCCUGAGCACGCAGAGGUCUGGCAGAGCCUGUUCCUGGAGCUCCUGCGCAUCCUCUCCGUAGACUCGGAGGGCUUCCCACGGCGGGCGGUCAUGCAGGUCUUCACCGAGUGGCUGCGGGACGGCCACGCCGACGCGGCCCAGGACACGGAGCAGUUCGUGGCCACUGUGCUGCAGGUGGUGAGCCGGGACCUGGACUGGGAGGUCCGCGCCCAGGGCCUGGAGCUGGCACUGGUGUUCCUGGGCCAGACUUUGGGGCCGCCACGUACCCACUGCCCCUAUGCCAUGGCCCUACCCGAGGUGGCCCCAGCCCGGCCACUCACCGAGGCACUGAGGGCUCUCUGCCACGUGGGGCUCUUUGACUUCGCCUUUUGUGCCUUGUUUGACUGCGACCGCCCUGUGGCGCAGAAGUCUUGUGACCUUCUUCUCUUUCUGAGGGACAAGAUUGCUUCCUACAGCAGCCUGCGGGAGGCCGGGGGCGGCCCCAGCACCACCUCCAUGGAGGCCACCCUGCCAAGGUGGCGGGCGGGUGAGCAGGCCCAGCCCUCGGGAGACCAGGAGCCUGAGGCUGUGCUGGCCAUGCUCAGGUCCCUAGACCUGGAGGGCCUGCGGAGAACGCUGGCCGAGAGCAGCGACCACGUGGAGAAGAGUCCCCAGUCCCUCCUGCAGGACAUGCUGGCCACGGGAGGCUUCCUGCAGGGGGACGAGGCCGACUGCUACUGAGCAGAACCAGAGUCUGCCACUGGGGCUCAGGACUGAGGGAGGCAGCACCAUGUCCUUCUGUGGGACACUGCCAGCCCCAGGGCUCCAGCUCAGCCUGGUGGAUCCUCUGGGGAAGCCAGGACCAGGAGAGAAGCAAGGUCAAAAAAUCCAACAUUUUGAUGUAUUAAAGAAAUGACUUAUUUUCUACUC
rnacentral:sRNA from 1 species